UCGAACCCUGCAACAGCAGCAGACGACCCGCGAACAAGUACCCACAAUCGAGUCAUUGAUUUUGGUCUCUGUCCACGACACUCUGUUGGCGUGUGUUUGUGAUGCCCUGUUCGGGGUUUCAUGGAACUCACGCUUGCACAUUAACAAACCCCGCACGGACUCUGCCAAGGAAAAUAUUAAAUGAGAAGGAUGCGUCCAUUGUCACCCCGUUCGCGGUGUGUGUCUUGCGUGGCCUCCUUGAAAUCA
rnacentral:misc_RNA from 1 species